AUACGGAGGGUGCGAGCGUUAAUCGGAAUUACUGGGCGUAAAGCGUGCGUAGGCGGUUUGCUAAGUCAGAUGUGAAAGCCCCGGGCUUAACCUGGGAACUGCAUUUGAUACUGGCAGACUAGAGUAUGAUAGAGGGGGGUAGAAUUCCUGGUGUAGCGGUGAAAUGCGUAGAUAUCAGGAGGAAUACCAGUGGCGAAGGCGGCCCCCUGGAUCAAUACUGACGCUGAGGUACGAAAGCGUGGGGAGCAAACAGGAUUAGAUACCCUUGUAGUCC
rnacentral:rRNA from 1 species